rnacentral:rRNA from 1 species
ACUCAAAUGAAUUGACGGGGGCUCACACAAGCGGUGGAGCAUGUUGCUUAAUUCGAAGCAACGCGAAGAACCUUACCUGGGCUUGACAUACAUGGAUUAGUUUCUGGAAACAGGAAUGACGCUCGCAAGAGUGGAACAUGUACAGGUGCUGCAUGGCUGUCGUCAGCUCGUGCUGUGAAGUGUCGGGUUAAGUCCCUUAACGAGCGCAACCCCUGUCGCUAGUUGCCAACGAGUCAUGUCGGGGACUCUAGCGAGACUGCCGGUGUCAAACCGGAGGAAGGUGGGGAUGACGUCAAGUCCUCAUGGCCCUUACGUCCAGGGUGGCAAACGUGCUACAAUGGCGUGAACAAAGCGAUGCGAGGUCGCGAGACGGAGCAAAUCGCAGAAAACACGCCCCAGUUCAGAUUGAAGUCUGCAACUCGACUUCAUGAAGCCGGAAUCGCUAGUAAUCGCGGAUCAGCCAUGCCGCGGUGAAUAAGUUCCUGAGCCUUGUACACACCGCCCGU